ensembl:lncRNA
GUCCCUUCCCUUAUCAGCACCCGCGGCCCCGGCAGCGCCGACGCAGGCGCACUGCACCGCGCCGCCGCCAUUUUGUGUCCGAGCCUGUGGAGCGAUUAAACCGUGCGCGGAGCUGCUUCUUUGGCGGCAGCGGCGGCGGCGGAAGCCGGUGCGGGUGCGCGGAGCUGGCUGGGGACGCCGGGUGGCCGGAGCGGUGGAGCGGCGGCGGAGCGAGCGCUGCGGGGGGUGUGGCGCGGAGAAUGAUUACAGACCUGGGUCCAAAGAACAAGAUGCAGUAGCGGACAGAUUGCUGACCAGAGGCUUGAGAGCUGAGUUCUGUUUUCCCUGCUCAAACUGACUUUGCAGCCACGGAGAGGGUACAAAGUGGUAUGAUUCCGGGGUACUUGAAGCCACAAGAUAAACAUGACUCAUCUUCUUGGAGCUUCAGUUGUGCUCACUGAGGGGGCGGUGAGUUAAGUAAUUUAACAGAUUCAACUAGCUGCAAUAAAGCAUGACCGCUGUCUUGUGCCAUUGUACAUAAGGGACUUGAGCAUCCACAGACCUGGGUAUCUGGCCAGAGACUGGGGUGGGGAUGGUGUGCUGGAACCAAUUCCCUGUGGAUACCCAGGGACAACUGUAAUAGAAUGUCAUGCAACUGUUUUAUUAUGUAUAGAAGUAUAUUGAAAUGGAGAGGGAUUUGAGACACUACAUAAAGCAAAUUGUCAAAUAGUGUGCACAGUGCAACAACAAUGCACAGUGUGAUCUCAUGUAAGAGUAAAUAUGUGUAUAAAUUGGGAGGAGAAUAUGGAUAUA